UAAAAACCCCGACUUCGGAAGGGGUGUAUUUAUUAGAUACAAAACCAAUGCCCUUCGGGGCUCUUUGGUGAUUCAUGAUAACUAUACGAAUCGCACGGCCUUGCGCCGGCGAUGGUUCAUUCAAAUUUCUUCCCUAUCAACUUUCGAUGUUUGGGUAUUGGCCAAACAUGGUUGCAACGGGUAACGGAGGGUUAGGGCUCGACCCCGGAGAAGGAGCCUGAGAAACGGCUACUACAUCCAAGGAAGGCAGCAGGCGCGCAAAUUACCCAAUCCCGACUCGGGGAGGUAGUGACAAUAAAUACUGAUACAGGGCCCUUUCGGGCCUUGUAAUUGGAAUGAGUACAAUUUAAAUCCCUUAACGAGGAACAAUUGGAGGGCAAGUCUGGUGCCAGCAGCCGCGGUAAUUCCAGCUCCAAUAGCGUAUAUUAAAGUUGUUGUGGUUAAAAAGCUCGUAGUUGAACCUUGGGCCUGGCUGGCCGGUCCGCCUCACCGCGUGCACUGGUCCGGCCAGGCCUUUCCCUCUGUGGAACCCCAUACCCUUCACUGGGCGUGGCGGGGAAACAGGACAUUUACUUU
rnacentral:rRNA from 1 species